ACAAACCAGCCAUCUUUCUAUUCCUCUGUAAUUCUGGUCCAGUGCAAAUCAAACAUUCCUCGCUCAUUGGAGCAGCAUUUGUGUAGCACUGUUAAAAAGAUGCGAAGACUCGCCGUCGUCUAGAUAUGCGGUUCACCUCGUGCUUUUCGGUUUGCAUAUUAGUGGUGGCAAUCUACUGUUGCGUCGGCUACGGCAAAAGUACGCAACAAAGGACGACCCACCCUCAAAAAAGCGGCAACAAAGUGCAAAAUGGGACGAAAAAAGCAGUAGUCUCGGGUGGUACGCAAAAAGGCUCAGCGAUGAAAAAAAGGCGGCAGUACAUCAUUAAAUGCUGUGGCACAAAUUCGUGCCGCGGUCCAAAUAAGCCGCUCUCCAGGAAUAAUAGUAGAAAAACCACGCAACAAACGACUGCUGCAUCGGUUGCAACCACAAUUGCGGCUGCUAAUGAUGAAGCUGCUUCUGAGAACAUUGACACGGGAGAAGGUGGAGGAGCAACUGACGAACAGAUAGGCGAAACAGUGGAACCUGCAGAUCCUGAGACAAAUCCACCGACAGUAGCUGCUGUUGGAUACACAGGAGCAACUGCUAGUGAAAACGGUGACUACGGCAAUGCGUAUUAAUUGGAUUACUUGCGAGAUUAAUAUCAAAUUAGGGUAGUUAUAACACUGAGGAAAUUUCCAACCAAAUAUUUUUGAAGUGUGGUUCCGCUAAAAGUUGAGUAAUUUCCAAGCACUUAUCUUAAAACAACAUAUAUCUUAUGUUGAUUCAAAUCAUUUAUGAAAAAUCUCAUAGUUUGCUGAUCAUAUUGUUCAUUAUAUGUAUUCUUCCAUGCCGUAGACACGAAAAAAAUUGGUCCUUCUCAGUCGUUGUACACAUUGGCUUCGUCGACAAAGAUAAUUUAUCACAGGUUUUUUAUUGUUCUAAAUGUAUUGCGGAUAUAUUCGAAUUUGGCCGUUGGAAAUAAAUGAAAAUGAAUA